rnacentral:rRNA from 1 species
UGGGGAAUAUUGGACAAUGGGCGAAAGCCUGAUCCAGCCAUGCCGCGUGAGUGACGAAGGCCUUAGGGUUGUAAAACUCUUUCGUCGGGGACGAUAAUGACGGUACCCGAAGAAGAAGCUCCGGCUAACUUCGUGCCAGCAGCCGCGGUAAUACGAAGGGAGCUAGCGUUGUUCGGAAUCACUGGGCGUAAAGCGCACGUAGGCGGAUAGUUAAGUCAGGGGCGAAAUCCUGGGGCUCAACCCCAGAACUGCCUUUGAUACUGGCUGUCUCGAGGUCGAGAGAGGUUGGUGGAAUUCCUAGUGUAGAGGUGAAAUUCGUAGAUAUUAGGAAGAACACCAGUGGCGAAGGCGGCCAACUGGCUCGAUACUGACGCUGAGGUGCGAAAGCGUGGGGAGCAGACAGGAUUAGAUACCCAAGUAGUCCCUGAGCGGGCUGGCAAGGCGCAU